GAUGAACGCUGGCGGUAUGCUUAACACAUGCAAGUCGAACGGUACCUUCGGGUAUAGUGGCGGACGGGUGAGUAACGCGUGAGAAUCUGUCUUCAGGUCGGGGACAACAGUUAGAAAUGACUGCUAAUACCGGAUAUGCCUUAUGGUGAAAGAUUUAUUGCCUGAAAAAGAGCUCGCGUCAGAUUAGCUAGUAGGUGGUGUAAGAGACUACCUAGGCGACGAUCUGUAGCUGGUCUGAGAGGACGAUCAGCCACACUGGAACUGAGACACGGUCCAGACUCCUACGGGAGGCAGCAGUGGGGGAAUUUUCCGCAAUGGGCGAAAGCCUGACGGAGCAAUACCGCGUGAGGGGACGAAGGCUUUUGGGUCGUAAAACCCUCUUUUCUCAAGGAAGAGUAAUGACGGUACUUGAGGAAUAAGCAUCGGCUAACUCUGUGCAAGCAGCCGCGGUAAU
rnacentral:rRNA from 1 species